rnacentral:rRNA from 1 species
UACGUAGGGGCUAGCGUUGUCCGGAAUCAUUGGGCGUAAAGCGCGUGUAGGCGGUCCGGUAAGUCCGCUGUGAAAGUCGAGGGCUCAACCCUCGAAUGCCGGUGGAUACUGUCGGGCUUGAGUACGGGAGAGGCGAGUGGAAUUCCUGGUGUAGCGGUGAAAUGCGCAGAUAUCAGGAGGAACACCAAUUGCGAAGGCAGCUCGCUGGGACGUUACUGACGCUGAGGAGCGAAAGCAUGGGGAGCAAACAGG